rnacentral:rRNA from 1 species
UGGGGAAUAUUGCACAAUGGGCGCAAGCCUGAUGCAGCCAUGCCGCGUGUGUGAAGAAGGCCUUCGGGUUGUAAAGCACUUUCAGCGAGGAGGAAGGUGGUGGACUUAAUACGUUCAUCAAUUGACGUUACUCGCAGAAGAAGCACCGGCUAACUCCGUGCCAGCAGCCGCGGUAAUACGGAGGGUGCAAGCGUUAAUCGGAAUUACUGGGCGUAAAGCGCACGCAGGCGGUUUGUUAAGUCAGAUGUGAAAUCCCCGGGCUCAACCUGGGAACUGCAUUUGAAACUGGCAAGCUAGAGUCUCGUAGAGGGGGGUAGAAUUCCAGGUGUAGCGGUGAAAUGCGUAGAGAUCUGGAGGAAUACCGGUGGCGAAGGCGGCCCCCUGGACGAAGACUGACGCUCAGGUGCGAAAAGCGUGGGGAGCAAAACAGGAUUAGAUACCCUGGUAGUCCACGCUGUAAAACGAUGUCGAUUUUGGAGGUUGUGCCCCUUGAGGCGUGGCUUCCGGAGCUAACGCGUUAAAUCGACCGCCUGGGGAGUACGGCCGCAAGGUU